UGCCAGUAGCACGUGUGUCUCGACAUCCCGACCCGAUGUAUGCCUUUGUGCGCUUUAGGGAUGAUGGAAUGAAAGUAGCCGUGUCCGUCGAUCGCAUUAAGAAUUUCGCACCAAAAAAUCUCAGGGAUUUGAACUCCACAAGAUGGUAUGAAGUGCGCUGGAAGGACGAAGAAAACAGCGGAUAUUUCCGGGCCCAAAUUAUGAAGUUGUGUGCAACCAAAGAGGAGGUCGACGCGUGCACGGAAGGUGUGGAGAAGCGCAUUUCGUGCCCGAAAAUGCCACUGUACAGUGACUCUGAAGAAGACUCUUGCACCAGUCACGAUUCCUACCGAGAGGAGAAGAAGAACAAACGAACUUCAAAGUUGCGGCAGAAGAAUGUUGAGGCGGCGUUCAGGAAAAAGCAAUUAGAGGCUCUCUUCCCUGAGGAACAGGACCAGAAGACAGACGAGCUUGAGCAGGAAGUUUUCAGGCUGAGAGCAGAAAAUGCCAAACUCUCUGCAAGAAUAGAGAUGCUGGAAAGAGCUCUGUGUAGCAAGAUCUUCAAUGCAGGUUUCAGAUCCAAUUUCAUUGUAUCGAGUGUUUUCCAGAGAUCUCCCAUUCUGCAUAAGCGUUUUUCUUCUAUGAUCACGCAGUCUUUCACAUUGCUUAUCUAGUCAUCUCCUUAUUUGUAAUAUCUGCUGCUUGCUUUUAUCCUAAUGUCUAAUCUCAUUUUCUCUUUUCCAUCUUCCUAUGCAUUGUCCUAAGCUUCCUCGAUUAUCUGUCAAGUUCCUCCACUAACAUGCAAGUUCUUUCCCUAUAGGUCUGCAAUAUUGAACAGUUCCUUAUUCUCAUCUACAAUACCUGCUGGGGGAAAGGAAAUAUUUGCAAAUGCAAAAUGAUGAAAAAGAAUACUGGUCCUAAAUUUGAUUUAUUUUGCUGCUUUUCUAUUCUGCGUUUGAGGAGAAUGCGAAACCAUUGUAUGUGGAAGCUGCACCGAUUCAGCAUCUAUCCUAAAAAACUGAAAGCGCUCCGACUACAUAGCAGAGUAACACGUUGAGAAAUUCUACCCUUCUAGGUUUCAUUGCCAGACAAAGUUGUCCCCUAGUGCAGCUAUUCAACACUUUAAUUUCUGAUUCAGUCUAGUACUGACUUGCAGCUUCUGUCUUCCUGUGACGUCUUUGUCCUGUCUGUAUGCUUAUAGUGCACAGGCUCACCUACUCUUGGGGUAAACAUGCAAGCACGUGGCUAUGCACAAUCUAGUGGCAAUGCAACCAGUUGGUCAUAUACACGCAAACCUGCACUGGUGCAGCGACACCUGAACGUGUGGCUUUGCAUCAUCUGAUACACACCGUAUAGGCCUGCAUUGCCCUUAAGUCUGCCAUGCAUUUUCAUGCCACAUGUAUCAACGGGUGGUGCAUUCACCACCAUGAAGCAAAUGAACUGCACCGUCUCCAGCAAAAUGUAUCUUGAGGGCAAAGAAUUCGGUACCAUUAUGGUUACUGCUAGGGCAAUGAGAAGGGCCAUAUUCUUUUUCACUGAUGGAAAAAAAGAAAGUUCAGUUCAUUAGGUUCAAAACUGUGAAACUGCUGCCUGUUACAUGCGGGAGACAAGUAGAGCAUUGGUGCCAAUGCAGCAGCAAAACUGAAAGUGAAAUUUGCCUAUAUACAACACAGGCCUGGCAAGCCACUCAAAAUGCAGAUGAUGCGAAAGCUAUGCCUUUAAGUGCGGCUGCAUAUAUUUGCAGGCUUGGUUCCAUGUGUGACUGCACCAACACUCCACAUAGCAUGACCACAUGCUUGCCUUUUCACCAUGAAAGCCUGUGUGUGCCUGAUAUUCUGUGUCAUAGUCUUUAGGUGAUGUUUGCAGUGGGAAAAUGUUCUGUCAUUUAUAUUUGUGUAUUGUACAUUUGGUAUUUCUUGAUGACCUGUAUUUCAGAGAAACGCUGUUGUGAAAAGAGCGCACACGGUGACAAAGUUGACAAAGUGAUGACACGGUGACAAGCUCGGAAAGGAGCAUGAAAAAGGCACUGCAGCCCUCCGGGAGCGCAGGCGCACCAAAACCAGCACAACAGCCCUUCAGGAGUCCUGAAGGACCAGUGAAGGGCAGCUCGGAAGAAACGCCAUCAAGCAAUUUAAAAGAAAAUGACGAGCCAAAUGCUGGAAAGUUGACAGCUUCUCUUUACAAAAGUGCUGAAGGACAAGUACAUUUGGGGAAGGACGUAUACGUUACGGAGGCUCUCUAUAACCGCCUCAUGGCUGCGAAGACGGACAGGCGAUUUGUUCGGGAAGCUGCUGUGGCAAUUUUUUCGACGGCAGGCUUGGCUGGCCACAGUGUGACCGGUGCAGUCUCAAACCGGACGAAAACUGGCGCAAAGCCAGCGUUGGACAAAACUAAGUACUCAGUCCUACGUGAUUUCUUCAGCAACUUUUUGCUACAACGUUAUCCGAUUGGGGAGAUGGAAAAAAGAAAAAGACUGAUGAAUAAAAUCCUUGCUGUCAAGAUUGCCGAUAUAAUGAAAGUGAGUGCAGCAGGACAGCGACGGAGAAAGUGCCAGCAACCUUGGAGAACUCAAAGAAGCAGGCAAAGAACAUGUAUGUGGAGCGGAAUAAAGACCUUUUGUGUAUUA